rnacentral:rRNA from 1 species
AUUGAACGCUGGCGGCAUGCCUUGCACAUGCAAGUCGAACGGUAACAGGUCUUCGGAUGCUGACGAGUGGCGAACGGGUGAGUAAUACAUCGGAACGUGCCCAGACGUGGGGGAUAACGAGGCGAAAGCUUUGCUAAUACCGCAUACGAUCUAAGGAUGAAAGCAGGGGACCGCAAGGCCUUGCGCGUUUGGAGCGGCCGAUGGCAGAUUAGGUAGUUGGUGGGAUAAAAGCUUACCAAGCCGACGAUCUGUAGCUGGUCUGAGAGGACGACCAGCCACACUGGGACUGAGACACGGCCCAGACUCCUACGGGAGGCAGCAGUGGGGAAUUUUGGACAAUGGGCGAAAGCCUGAUCCAGCAAUGCCGCGUGCAGGAUGAAGGCCUUCGGGUUGUAAACUGCUUUUGUACGGAACGAAAAGGCUCUGGCUAAUACCUGGGGCACAUGACGGUACCGUAAGAAUAAGCACCGGCUAACUACGUG